GGUCUCGUAGCUCAGGGGGAGAGCGUCCGCCUCACACGCGGAAGGUCACUGGUUCAAUCCCAGUCGGGACCA
rnacentral:tRNA from 2 species